UUUUUUAGCCAUUUUAUUGCUGGCGUACAAACAGGACGAACAUGCUCUCAUAGAAUGGCAGCCAGUGCAGUUAGCGAGAGGUUGCAAAAUCCCAGGUGAGGCUGCUGCCUCACCGGCUUCGCUUCUGAGGAUUUGAUUGGAAAAUUGCAAAAAUUCAGCAAUUUUGAAGAA